GGAGGAUCUCAGCUGGAGCAGAGAGGGGAGAGGCAUACAGAGAGAAGAGCGUGUGUUGUGUGGAUGUACUCGCCUGCCUCCCUGACUGACUGACUGUGUGUGUGUGUGUUUGUGUGUGACAGACAGACAGAGAGAGAGAGAGACAGGGGAGAACGCGUGGAUACUACUCCACAGGACUGGAUGUGUUUGGCAUCACGGACGACCACACACACACAAAAACAGAGAUCGGGGCAGACGCAAACUGCUGACUGAACUGCAGGCAGACACCGGGACAGAGUGCGGAGGAGUAAGCAGACAAGGCAGAGGACACGAGACCUGACUGACAGCGCCCAUGGCGAGCAAUAACACGGCCAGCAUUGCACAAGCCAGGAAGCUGGUGGAACAGCUGAAGAUGGAAGCCAACAUCGACAGGAUAAAGGUGAGCAG